rnacentral:rRNA from 1 species
GACGAACGCUGGCGGCGUGCCUAACACAUGCAAGUCGAACGGGGAAAGAACGCUGAAUUGAUGGUAGCUUGCUACCGGAUUUUCUUGUUUUUUCCUAGUGGCGGACGGGUGAGUAACGCGUGAGUAACCUGCCUUACAGAGGGGGACAACAGUUGGAAACGACUGCUAAUACCGCAUGACACAUUCGGAUGGCAUCACCUGAAUGUCAAAGAUUUUAUCGCUGAAAGAUGGCCUCGCGUCUGAUUAGCUAGUUGGUGGGGUAACGGCCCACCAAGGCGACGAUCAGUAGCCGGUCUGAGAGGAUGAACGGCCACAUUGGGACUGAGAUACGGCCCAGACUCCUACGGGAGGCAGCAGUGGGGAAUAUUGGGCAAUGGGGGAAACCCUGACCCAGCAACGCCGCGUGAAGGAAGAAGGCUUUCGGGUUGUAAACUUCUUUUACCAGGGACGAAGAACGUGACGGUACCUGGAGAAAAAGGCAACGGCUAACUACGUG